UACGUAGGCAGCGAGCGUUGUUCGGAGUUACUGGGCGUAAAGAGUGCGUAGGCGGUUUUCUAAGUUUGGUGUGAAAUCUCCCGGCUUAACUGGGAGGGUGCGCCGAAAACUGGAAGGCUUGAGUAUGGGAGAGGUAAGCGGAAUUCCUGGUGUAGCGGUGAAAUGCGUAGAUAUCAGGAGGAACACCGGUGGCGAAGGCGGCGACCUGGGUCGAGACUGACGCUGAGGCGCGAAAGCGUGGGGAGCAAACAGG
rnacentral:rRNA from 1 species